UGGGGAAUUUUGGACAAUGGGGGCAACCCUGAUCCAGCCAUCCCGCGUGUGCGAUGAAGGCCUUCGGGUUGUAAAGCACUUUUGGCAGGGAAGAAACAGCCUGGGCUAAUAUCCCGGGCGACUGACGGUACCUGCAGAAUAAGCACCGGCUAACUACGUGCCAGCAGCCGCGGUAAUACGUAGGGUGCAAGCGUUAAUCGGAAUUACUGGGCGUAAAGCGUGCGCAGGCGGUUCGGAAAGAAAGGUGUGAAAUCCCAGGGCUUAACCUUGGAACUGCACUUUUAACUACCGGGCUCGACGACGGCAGAGGGCGGUAGAAUUCCACGUGUAGCAGUGGAAUGCGUAGAGAUGUGGAGGAAUACUGAUGGCGAAGGCAGCCCCCUGGGAUGAUACUGACGCUCAUGCACGAAAGCGUGGGGAGCAAACA
rnacentral:rRNA from 1 species